rnacentral:rRNA from 1 species
AGUAACACGUGAGUAACCUACCCUAGGGCGUGGAAUAACAGUUCGAAAGAACUGCUAAUACCGCAUAAGCCUCCGUGACUUCGGUCAAGUGAGGAAAAGAGGGGGCUCCUUCGGGACCUCUCACCUUAGGAUGGGCUCGCGUCCCAUUAGGUAGUUGGUGGGGUAACGGCCUACCAAGCCUGCGAUGGGUAGCUGGUCUGAGAGGACGAUCAGCCACACUGGAACUGAGACACGGUCCAG